GUAGGCUUGCUACCUGGGCAGAAACUUGGCGAAAAUACAGCACGAUGUAUCACAUGAAGUACUGACAGCAAAAAUGCAGCAGAAAUCGAGCAGAGCCUGCCGUCAUGACAUGACGGCGAAAACGCGGCAGGUAUAGAACGCGAGUUUGCUACAUCAGAUGUGUGAUGACUUCUGCACACAGGACGCGGCAAAGCGGCAUCGCGGCGGUAGUAAGGUUGAUCGCCCGACGUGUCUCCCGUCGAAUCCUACACUUCCCGGACCUGAUCCUCCCAGAAGUCUUCUCAAAGAUUUCCACCUUCAUAUAAAAAAAAGUUCAAAUUGGACGGUUCUUGCAUGUGAUAUCAUCUUGGGUUUAAUUAACUCUCUGCAGUCAGUCGAAAA